rnacentral:rRNA from 1 species
GACGAACGCUGGCGGCGUGCUUAAUACAUGCAAGUCGAACGGAAAGGCCCUGCUCUUGUGGGGUGCUCGAGUGGCGAACGGGGGAGUAACACGUGAGUAACCUGCCCUUGUCUGUGGGAUAACUUCAGGGAAAUGGGGCUCAUAUCGGAUAGGAUCUACUGCUGCAUGGGGGGGAUUGGAAAGUUUCGGCUGUUGGGGAUGGACUCGCGGCUUAUCCGCCUGUUUGUGGGGUAGUUGCUUACCAAGCCUUUGAAGGGUAGCCGGCCUGGGAGGGUGACCGGCCACCUUGGGACUGCGAUACGGCCCAGACUCCUACGGGAGGCAGCAGUCGGGAAUCUUGCACAAUGGGCGCAAGCCUGAUGCAGCAACGCCGCGUGCGUGAUGCCGGCCUUCGGGUUGUAAACCGCUUUCGCCUGUGCCGAAGCGUGAGUGACGGUACUGGGUAAAGAAGCCCCGGCUAACUACGUG